GGAAAAUGUACUAGCAUGUGUCAGAAAGCCUGGUCUCAGUCGCAGGUCAUGGGUCCUCCAACAGGACAAUGACCCAAAACACACAGCUAAAAACAUCCAAGAAUUUCUAAGAAUAAAGCAUUGUAC